GAUGAACGCUGGCGGCGUGCCUAAUACAUGCCAGUCGAGCGAACAGACGAGGAGCUUGCUCCUCUGACGUUAGCGGCGGACGGGUGAGUAACACGUGGAUAACCUACCUAUAAGACUGGGAUAACUUCGGGAAACCGGAGCUAAUACCGGAUAAUAUAUUGAACCGCAUGGUUCAAUAGUGAAAGACGGUUUUGCUGUCACUUAUAGACGGAUCCGCGCCGCAUUAGCUAGUUGGUAAGGUAACGGCUUACCAAGGCAACGAUGCGUAGCCGACCUGAGAGGGUGAUCGGCCACACUGGAACUGAGACACGGUCCAGACUCCUACGGGAGGCAGCAGUAGGGAAUCUUCCGCAAUGGGCGAAAGCCUGACGGAGCAACGCCGCGUGAGUGAUGAAGGUCUUCGGAUCGUAAAACUCUGUUAUUAGGGAAGAACAAAUGUGUAAGUAACUAUGCACGUCUUGACGGUACCUAAUCAGAAAGCCACGGCUAACUACGUG
rnacentral:rRNA from 1 species